AACGAACGCUGGCGGCAGGCUUAACACAUGCAAGUCGAACGCAUCCUUCGGGGUGAGUGGCAGACGGGUGAGUAACGCGUGGGAACGUGCCCUUCAGUUCGGGAUAACCCAGGGAAACUUGGGCUAAUACCGGAUACGUGCGAGAGCAGAAGGAUUUAUCGCUGAAGGAUCGGCCCGCGUCUGAUUAGCUAGCGGGUGGGGUAAGGGCCCCCCAAGGCGAAGAUCAGUAGCUGGUCUGAGAGGAGGAUCAGCCACAUUGGGCCUGCGGCACGGCCCACGCGCCUACGGGAGUCGGCAGUGGGGAGUAUUGGACAAUGGGCGAAGGCCUGAUCCAGCCAUGCCGCGUGAGUGAUGAAGGACUUAGGGUUGUAAAGCUCUGUCGUCCGGGACGAUAAUGACGGUACCGGAAGAAGAAGCCCCGGCUAACUUCGUGCCAGCCGCCGCAGUAA
rnacentral:rRNA from 1 species